rnacentral:rRNA from 1 species
UACAGAGGUGGCAAGCGUUGUUCGGAAUUACUGGGCGUAAAGGGCGCGUAGGCGGCCUUCUAAGUCAGACGUGAAAUCCCCCGGCUUAACCUGGGAACUGCGUCUGAUACUGGGAGGCUUGAGUAUGGGAGAGGGAUGUAGAAUUCCAGGUGUAGCGGUGAAGUGCGUAGAUAUCUGGAGGAAUACCGGUGGCGAAGGCGGCAUCCUGGACCAUAACUGACGCUGAGGCGCGAAAGCUAGGGGAGCAAACGGG